rnacentral:rRNA from 1 species
UACGUAGGGGGCAAGCGUUGUCCGGAAUUAUUGGGCGUAAAGAGCUCGUAGGCGGCUUGUCACGUCGGUUGUGAAAACCCGGGGCUCAACCCCGGGCCUGCAGUCGAUACGGGCAGACUAGAGUGCGGUAGGGGAGACUGGAAUUCCUGGUGUAGCGGUGAAAUGCGCAGAUAUCAGGAGGAACACCGGUGGCGAAGGCGGGACUCUGGGCCGAUACUGACGCUGAGGAGCGAAAGCGUGGGGAGCAAACAGG